AAUACAAAGACAAAGCCGCAUACGAACUUCCGCUACACCAUCAAAGCUUUGAGAACAAAGAAGAAGGUUGGUUAGUGUUUUGGAGUCGAAUAUGACUUGAUGUCAUGUGUAUGAUUGAGUAUAAGAACUUAAACCGCAAUCAGAUCUUAAAAGCUUAAGUAGUGUUUCCUUGUUAGAAGAUACAAAGUCAAAGACUCAUACGUAGUUUAGCUACACCAUCAAAGCUUUGAGAAGCAAGAAGAAGCUUGGUUAGUGUUUAGGAGUCAAAUAUGACUUGAUGUCAUGUGUAUGACUGAGUAUAACAACUAGAACCGCAACCGGAUCUUAAAAGCCUA
rnacentral:sRNA from 1 species